AGAGCGAACGCUGGCGGCAGGCUUAACACAUGCAAGUCGAACGGGCAUAGCAAUAUGUCAGUGGCAGACGGGUGAGUAACGCGUGGGAACGUACCUUUUGGUUCGGAACAACACAGGGAAACUUGUGCUAAUACCGGAUAAGCCCUUACGGGGAAAGAUUUAUCGCCGAAAGAUCGGCCCGCGUCUGAUUAGCUAGUUGGUGAGGUAAUGGCUCACCAAGGCGACGAUCAGUAGCUGGUCUGAGAGGAUGAUCAGCCACAUUGGGACUGAGACACGGCCCAAACUCCUACGGGAGGCAGCAGUGGGGAAUAUUAGACAAUGGGCGAAAGCCUGAUCCAGCCAUGCCGCGUGAGUGAUGAAGGCCCUAGGGUUGUAAAGCUCUUUUGUGCGGGAAGAUAAUGACGGUACCGCAAGAAUAAGCCCGGCUAACUUCGCGCCAGCAGCCGC
rnacentral:rRNA from 1 species